AGCAAUUCCGGUUGAUCCUGCCGGAGGCUACUGCUAUCGGAGUCCGAUUUAGCCAUGCUAGUCCACCGAGUCUUUGACUCGGGGCGGAUAGCUGAGUAACACGUGGCUAACCUGCCCUGUGGAUGGAGAUAACCUCGCUAACGUGAGGCUAAUAUCCAAUAGCAGAUGAUUGCUGGAAAGCGUCGUCUGUGAAAUGUUCCGACGCCAUAGGAUGGAGUCGCGGCUGAUUAGGUUGUUGGUGAGGUAACGGCUCACCAAGCCAGUAAUCAGUAGCAGCCGUGAGAGCGGGAGCUGUCAGUUGGCUUCUGAGACAAGAAGCCAGACCCUACGGGGUGCAGCAGGCACGAAACCUUCACAAUGCACGAGAGUGCGAUGGGGGGACUCCGAGUGUAAUCUUCCCACAAGGAAGGUUACUUUUCUGCACUGUAAGGAGGUGCCGGAACAAGGGGUGGGCAACACUGCUGCCAGCCGCCGCGGUAAUAGCAGGACCCCAAGUGGUAGUCGUUAUUAUUGGGCUUAAAGUGUUCGUAGCCUGCCGUGCAAGUCCGCUGUGAAAUCCACGCGCUCAACGUGUGGGCGUGCAGCGGAUACUGUAUGGCUAGGGACCGGACGGCGUUGAGGCUAUUCCCGGGGUAGGAGUGAAAUCCUAAAAUCCUGGGAGGAGCACCUGUGGCGAAAGCGCUCAACGAGUACGGAUCCGACGGUGAGGAACGAAAGCCAGGGGAGCAAAGCGGAUUAGAUACCCGCGUAGUCCUGGCCGUUAACAAUGUCCGUUUGAUGUCGGCUAACCUCCGAGGUUAGCCGGUGCCGAAGUGAAAACGUUAAACGGACCGCCUGGGAAGUACGGUCGCAAGGCUGAAACUUAAAGGAAUUGACGGGGGAGCACCACAACCGGUGGAGACUGCGGUUUAAUUAGAUCCAACGCAGAGUACCCUACCAGAGCCGACAGCAGAAUGACGGUCAGCUUGAAGAGCUUACCUGACGCGCUGAGAGGAGCUGCAUGGCCGCCGUCAGCUCGUGCUGUGAAGUGUCCGGUUAAGUCCGGUAACGAGCGAGACCCGCACUCUAUGUUGCCAAGGAUUCCUUCGGGAAUUCUGCACUCGUAGAGGACCGCUGGCGAUAAGCCAGGGGAAGGAGCGGGCCACGGUAGGUCAGUAUGGCCCGAAUGCUCUGGGAUACACGCGGUCUACAAUGGCCGGAACAAAGAGAUGCAACCCCGAGGAGGGGAAGCUAACCUCCUAAACCCGGUCCUAAUUCGAAUCGAGGACUGCAACUCGUUCUCGUGAAGGCGAAAUCGGUAGUAGUCGCUGGUCAUCAUCUAGCGGCGAAUAUGUCCCUGCUCCUUGUACACACUGCCUGUCAAGUCACCCGAGUCAGGUUCAGACGAGGGCCUCUUUAUAGAGGAACAAGUCUGAGCUUGGCAAGGGGGGCUAAGUCAUAACAAGGUAGCCGUUGGGGAACCAUCGGCUGGAUCACCUCCAAAACAA
rnacentral:rRNA from 1 species